UGGAGCUUUGAGGCUUUGGUGAGCAGAGGCUGAGGACAAGCUUGCUCCCAGAGAGGGAAGGCUGGUUGCCCUUGAGAAGGUGAUGAGCUGCUGCCUCGAACCACUGCUGAGGGUCUGCUCACCAUUGGCUCUGAGGACUGGGAUGCUAUAGCCAUAACAAAUGUGGCUGAGAAGGGCAGGACCAGCAGCUCAGUUCUAGGAUACUGAUGUUACAGGUGUGACAGGUGCAGGUAAAGGUGGUUACAAGUACCAAUUAAGAAGGGGGAGAGACAAGAUGCUGAUAUUAUCAACCAUCAGCACAGACAUUGACUGCAUAUUUCAACACCAUCUGGGAGAAAAGAUCUGCAUUGUGAUGAGGCUUCAAGCAC